rnacentral:rRNA from 1 species
CGGACGGGUGAGUAAUGUCUGGGAAACUGCCCGAUGGAGGGGGAUAACUACUGGAACGGUAGCUAAUACCGCAUAACGUCGCAAGACCAAAGAGGGGGACCUUCGGGCCUCUUGCCAUCGGAUGUGCCCAGAUGGGAUUAGCUAGUAGGUGGGGUAACGGCUCACCUAGGCGACGAUCCCUAGCUGGUCUGAGAGGAUGACCAGCCACACUGGAACUGAGACACGGCCCAG